AAUGUUAGUGUUUUGUCUCUCAUUUUUUUCCGUCUCUCUUCUUUGUUCUGUGGAGACUGCUGAACUUCAUCCCUAAAUCUGAAACGGUCCGAGUUAUGUGUUCUUCAUGUUUAAUCUCUAUUAAUUCAAUAAACCACGAUGAGGCUUUGAAUGUGUGCUUAGAUUCGUUGAGUAAUUGUAUCUGCGAGUAUAAAUAGGUGAUACUCAUGCCAGCCACCGUCUCACCGCGUACAUGCAUCUUUUGAAAGCGAGUUCAAUAUACUCCUUGAGCGGAUUUGAUAUGACUCGGUUCAGUCAGAAUUUCAGACAUGUUCAUCAUAGUUGUGGAGUCAUGAAGUAUCACUUUUCAGGAACGUUCAUUCUCCCCACUUUUGAUAUGGUAGAACAAAAAUAUGUGACAGCUGAGGGUACUGAAUGAUAGUUUUCCUUGAAAGCAAAAUUCUCAAACCCCCAAAAGCUGGAGCCAAAGCUUCUAAAGAAGCAAUAGAAAUGUGGACAGAAGUUUCUCUAGGUAAAUACUAUAUAAAUGUUUCUCUAUAAUUGAAAUUUGGUUUCAGUUGAUAUAGAUCUGCACUUAUAUCGUCUGAUCUGCAGUUUAAUUGUGGCCGCAAAAGACCAAGACCCAUGGAAUUUAGUUAUAUUAUUGCAACUGCUAUCCUACUCUACUCUCUUUGCAAUAUAUGAUCAAUAAUAAAAGCCUCUGGCGACAUGUAUGCAGAACCUUCAGCAAGGAAACCUGGCCAUCAAUCUGCAAAUAACUGCACCGUCCGUGGCUACAGGAAUAUCAGUUGCUUCCAUCAACAACUCACCCUCACAUGCACAUGAGCUAUUUUGGAAGCUACGUUAUUAGCGGCAUCACAAUCUCUACGACUUGAUUCUUUUCUCUAGACGUGAUUCUUAUCUCCAUACCUCAUUCUUCUCUUAUCAUUUUCAAUAACUGAGGUUUGUUGUUUGAUCUUUGUUUCAAAAGGUAUUUGUAUUUGUUUACUGUUGAGAAAUACGUUACACAUUCAUGUUUAUAUCAAGCUGGCAGAUUCUUCCGUCAACAUUCGCUU